UACAGAGGGAGCAAGCGUUGUUCGGAUUUACUGGGCGUAAAGGGCGCGUAGGCGGCGCGGUAAGUCACUUGUGAAAUCUCUGAGCUUAACUCAGAACGGCCAAGUGAUACUGCAGUGCUAGAGUGCAGAAAGGGCAAUCGGAAUUCUUGGUGUAGCGGUGAAAUGCGUAGAGAUCGGGAGGAACACCAGUGGCGAAGGCGGCCAUCUGGAUCAACACUGACGCUGAGGCACGAAAGCGUGGGGAGCAAACAGG
rnacentral:rRNA from 1 species